UGGCGGACGUUGUAAACAGAGCCAGCAGUUUGGCGGAUUGAACAAAGUGAAACGGCUCUUUUUAUUGAACAAAACAAGAUGAACAGCAUUGAAUGUGAGAGGUUAGACAGUCUGGAGGGCUGGGUGGCCGUCAAGAGCAACAUAUUUGAGGAAACGGAGUCGUUUAAGCUGGGUUUUAUCGUGCAGUGGAACGUCAUCGAGUGUAAGUUUGCUGUCACCUGCCACAAUCGGACAUUACAGAGACAGAAGAGGAGAGCUGAAGUCAAUGUGGGAGACUCUGAAAUAAGCUGGGCUGGACUCUUUUCCGUCAGCGACUUAAAACACAUCCAUCAACAAUUCACAUGUGUCGCAGACGUCCUGGCCUCCUGCUUCCCGGACUUGUCUGAGUUUGAGGAGGGCAACAUUUGGGACCUGCUCUUCCUGAGUCGGAGGUCAGGCACCGAGGAGGAGGACGAGCGAGACUUCGACGCGCCUUGCAGGAGGCUGGAGAAGUACUUCAGCACAGCCAUCGACAUCUGCGGCCGGAAGAUCGUCCUCGACACCCUCUUCAGUCAGGAUGAGAGGGACGUGGAGGAGUACUUUGAAAACCUGCAGGAGUUCAAGAGGAAGACCAUGCAGGAGGAGAUGUCCAGGGCCAAGGGUCACCUGCGGCAGCUGCUGCAGAGUCACGGCAGUGCCGACGGGAUGGUCGCGCUGCUCAGCAUCUACGAGGAGGAGGACGAGUCCUACCAGGACCUGGUCACUGUGGCCACCACCUUCUUCCAGUACCUGCUGCAACCUUUCAGGGACAUGAGAGAGCUGGCAUGCCUCUACAAGUUGGAGAUCCUGAAGUCUUUGGAGUUUGAGGACUUGGGUCCUAAGAGAAUUACAGCUCUGGAGAAGGAGGCGGAGGAGUGGAGAACAAAAGCAGAAGACGCAAUCGCCUCAAUUCAGGACAUCACUGUCACCUACUUUGCACAGACUUCAAAGGCUCUAGCUGGUAUGUUAAAGCAGAUGGAGGAGGAUAAGCGUCGUUUUGGGGCUGCUGCCUGGGCGUCUGCUGCUCCUAGACUGGAGAAACUACGCUUCCUAUUGGCCAAAGAAACCCUGCAGCAUAUGAGAACUGCAGAGAUGUGCCUCAGCCGCAAGAAAGACAGCAUCAGAGAACGGAUGGGCGGCUUGUCAAGCAGAGACCAGAACCAGAGAUCUGAUCCUGGGGGUGUGUCUGAGGACGGCCAGCAGCAGGACACCGUGGAUCAGCUGGAGCUGCAGUUCUAUGAAACCCAACUAGAGCUGUAUGACACCAAGUUUGAGAUCCUGAAGAAUGAGGAGCAGCUACUGGUGGCUCAGAUAGACUCCGUGCGAAGACAGAUUAAAGAGCUGAAUGAGGAGGUGGUGUACUAUGAUGUGUGUGAGGAUCCCGAGGAGCUGCAGAGCCUGGUCCACACUGGUAUUCAACAAGCACAUUCUCCGGUUGUCAAUCAGUUCAAAAGACGCCUGCAGACCCUGGAGACCAAGAGAGGCAACAUCUGUGCCCGGCGAGCAUACCUCCGCAACAAAAAGGAUCAGUGCAUGGAGGCCAACGAGCAGAAGCAUGUCACAGCCAAGCAGAGCUCCAUAGUCUUUGCCCAGCAUCAUCAAAUCCACUUGAAACGAGAGAAGAAGAAAGAGGAGGAGCAGAAGAGGAAAGAGUGGGUUGACCAGGAGCGAGAGAAGACUCUGAGCAGAUUACGAUCCUUCAGAGAGAAGCGACACGGUCAGUACAUCCUGAAGACUCCUCAGUCCAGGAUGUCUCCCUCAGAGCCGCCGUGUCCCUCCCAGCCGCUGUCCAUCAUCAGCCUCGGCAAGUCUCCCUCCUCUGACGGCGCACCCUCCAUCCGUCCUGCACCCAGAUGCAAAAAAACACCCAAGAAACAGCAGCCUCGAGACAUCCCUGUCCAAAUAUUCGCUCCACCGCCGCCUCCGACAACAAACGCUCCUACUGUACCUCCUCCACCACCACCUCCACCGCCACCUCCUCUGCCUCCACCUCCACCACCCCCUGCCUUACCUCCUCCGCCCGUCAGUGCUUCACGUUCUGCGGAGGACAAACCAAUGCCUCUCAGUGAAAAAGAGGACCCUCCUUUUCCUGCCAAGAACAUGCUCAAACAAAACAUAGGAACGAUGGAUGAAGUGUUGGCCUCGCUGCAGCGUGGACAGAUCCAGCUUCGAAAGGUCCCCACUCCUAAGACAGAGACCCCUGCAGCUGACCCGAGGAGCAGCCUGAUGUCUGCCAUCCGACAAGGAGUCAUGCUGAAGAAGGUGGUUCCAGCGCGCUCAGAAGUCCCGAGCGGUGCAGACAACGAGCUGGAGCGCAGCAUCAAAGCUGCCAUGUUGAGGAUGAAGAAGGUGUCGGCCGACUCCGACUCUGACUCUGACGACAGAGGAGACGACGAGACGCAGAGUGGAGACUGGGACAGCUGAGGACACACACACACACACACACACACACAUGUACACAAACACACACGCCGAUGAAGCUGUUCUUACAUCACCCUGCUCUGUUUCCUUUCACGGUUCUGAGCUGCGGCUUAUGUUGCUGCCAAGUUAUCACCCUCAAAAGCUUCUUUGACGAGGGCAGGAUUAGGGCCGCCUCUGAAUUUGAUAUUGCUGUUUGCUGAAGUCGUAAUCAUCUUUGUCUUUUUCAUAAAUAGCUCAGAGAUAUUGUAAUACAUCACAAACUGCUCAAAUUCAAACAGCGAACAGCGAGCGGCAAAAAUCAGGAUUUUAAUCUCCUCUGAUUUUUAUUUUUCGUUUGCAGAAAAUCCCAAAACUUAACGAAUGAGGCUUUGAGCUUCAUCAUUGAUUUAGAAGGAAAAGGUGAAGAAUUCGUUCUGUAGUUCAGCGUGUAAAUGAUUGAAUCGGCCUUUUAUGUGACUGUCACAAAGUAGGGGGAACAGACGACUACACUACAUAACUCCAACGACACAAAUACUCCCUUUUUUCACUCUGCUCUCUCUCAACUCCGCUGACAUUCGUUACUUUGAAUGUAAUAAAAAUCUGAACAAUUAUUAUUCCUUUACUCUUCAAGGGCUACAGAAAACUGAGGGUUUAGGUUUUUUUCUUUUUUAUUACUAACUAAAGUGAGAGUGAUGUCCUGAACUGCAGCAGUGUUAAUAAUUUACAGCCUACAUGUCUAAAGUCUGCAUCGUUGUUCGUGCACUGUCCAGUCCUGUUUUUUUUUCUUUCAGAAACUUGUGAACGUGUUAUUUUAGGUGCAAUUUAUAUGUGAUCUGAUAUUUCUCCCUCUAUGAUGCCAUAACCAAUGAGAUGACAAAUGAAUGCUAGAUGUUUGAGUUUUUUUUAAACCACCGAUACUUCAUUUAAUGCAUAACUUUACACCUCUUUAUCUCUGUUGACUGUUGAAUCCUCAGAAAGGCUGGCAGGUUAUUUUGGGAAAUCUUUGUACUUAUGACCUUUGAACCUGUGAUACAGAGCACUUGGCUUUAUCGGAGCCCCUUUAAAAAGGGUUAAGGUGUAAUGUAUUAUGUACAAAUGAUAAAAAUAUAUUACUGUAAGGCAAACAGUCUUUUAAAUGGUUUGCGGAUAAAGCUAUUAACUGCUGCACUUUGUUCUAAAACCUUUUGAUUCUGCAGAGAUUGGUUUAAGGCAUGAGGUGUGUCCAGAUGUGUGUUACAGCCCCUGAUCUCCACAAGUUAUCCGCACCUGGCUGUGAUGAAGCCUCUGUUCGUCGAAAUGAGUCACAUCCUUUUAAAAGAGAGAGAGAGAGAGACGCCUUAUCAACUCAUGCCGGUGAACUCCGGGCGGCCGUCUCUCUGCAUUUGUGUGUGUGUGUGUGUGUGUGUGUGUGUGUGUGUGUGUGUGUGUGUGUGUGUGUGUGUGUGUGUGUGUGUGUGUGUGUGUGUGUGUGUGUGUGUGUGUGUGUGUGUGUGUGUGUGUGUGUGUGUGUGUGUGUGUGUGUGUGUGUGUGUGUGUGCUGUAACAUCCAGGUAAUUCAGGUGGAAGACAGGUCAUGCACCUUGAAGAAGACACACAUGGCGGACCCAGCGAUGGAGCGUCAACAUGAAAUUCUGCAGCAUGUUACCAUGGUAACAGGAAGUCUCUGUGGUAGUGGCCUGCAGUGCCAUGUCUCUCUCUCUACUCCUUUCUCUCUAUCUCUCUCUCUCUCCCUGUGACACAUGUACAGUGCAGCAUAGUCUCUUAAUGAUGUUUCACCAACUCGCCCACUCAUCACCAGUCACACAAUGAGCCUUGCCGAGAGAGUUAAAGAGACAGCGAUGAACAGUAGAGAGAGGGGACACACAGAAAGGCUGCAACUAAUUUUUUUUAAAUUACCGAUCAACCUGUCAGCUACUGUUUCAUUGAUGUUAUAAAAAAAGUCCUAAAAGUGACUAAAUCUAGAGUCAACAAUAAUACCUAAACUUUUGUUUUGUCCAAACAGUCAAACUAAACUAAAAGUGUAACUAACUUUAUCAUACUAACAUGCUCACAGUGACAAUGUUAACAUGGAGACGUUCAGAGGAUAAUGUUUACUAUAUUCACCCUCUUAGUUUAACUUGUUAGCAUGUUAACAUUGGCAAACUAGAAUUGGCUAUGUCAUUAGUUUUGCAGGUUUUUGGUCAUAAACCAAAGUAUUUUUGACCUGAUGGUGGUGCUGUAGUUUAACUCAGAGGAUCAUUAAAGUCACAGCUCAUCCUCUGAGCACAAUCUGUGUCUAAUGUCAUGUCAUUACUUUUUUGUUGAGACAUUUCACUAAAAACAACCUCAUUGUGGCACUGGAGGAAAAGUCAGAGGAUUCAUCCCGUGGGUAUCAUGAAUGUCCAGCAGCUGCCAUGGUGAUAGCAUAGCAAAAAGUUUUAGAGAGGCUGCAACUAUAAUUUUCAUGAUGGAUUAAUUUAGAAGAAAUUUUGCAGAUAGUUUCUCAGAGCCCCGAGGUAUCUCCAUAUUGUUUAUGUUCAACUGUCCAAAACCCGAAAAUAUUCAGUUUAAGAGUUUGGAAGAAAAGCAAAAGCGUCUGUGAGGCUGGAACCAGGAAAUAUUUGACAUUUUGAUUUGAAAAGGGAUUAUAUGAUUAUUCAGUUGUAAAAAUAAUUAAUUUGGAUUAAUUCAGCAAAUUUUUUAUCUCUAAUAUUCAGUUUACACAAAAUGAACAAGACAGAAAAAGCUCAUGAUGUUUAUUAAACAGGAACUGGAAAAAAUUAAAAUCUGUGAAGUGACAUUUUUAAUAGUCGAUAAAAUUUAAUUGUCAAAUAUUUCCUGGUUUCAGCUUAUCGAAUGUAAACGUUUGCUGCUUUUUCUAUAAUUUAUAUCAUUUUAAAUGUAUAUUUAUCUGCAAGAUGAUGCUCGGGGUUAUUUCUCAUGAGGCCUUUUUCCAACGUUUUAUAGAAAUUAUAACGAUGGGUAGUUGCAGCAUCAGAGCGGGUCAUUUUGCAUCAGCCAAAUUAAUUAAUGAACUGAUCAUCUCUGCACUAAAUUGAUUGUUUAUGCUGCUUAUUCAUUUUCCACCUGUGCCAAACAUCUCGCCUUUGAAGGUGAGAAGGAAAAUUAAAUAGUCCCAGGGAGUCAAACAUCCACGAGUCUCACUGGCUGUGAAAGAUGAUUGACUCUUGUGUAAUUAUAAAUUAAUUGUUGGGAUGUAGCUCUGGAUCCAUACUUCUCAUAGUCCAUCAUCCACAGUGUUAUUUAUCACAAAAAGAGGAGUGAGUGGGAUUAAGUUGCCAAGGCAACGUGUCCUCUGAUCCACCUCUGCAGUUGUUUCCUCAGUGCUGUGAGGACAUCGGACUUUAAAGGUUUUUCCAUCCUUCAAACAAGCUUGUGUGUUUUUGCUCUGAUUGUUCUGAUCUCAGAAAAAAAUGAUACGUGUAAAUCACUGUGAUAAAACUUUACUCAUGUGCUGUCUCUGUUGGGAUAACAGCUAUAUUUAGUGCUAUGUAAAUCAACAGUGGAGAAAAGACGUGCUGUGGCGGAGCCUCGACAGGAUGCAGCUCCCUCCUCCUCUGAGCUUUUCAUCCAGGAAAAAUGCCUUAACACUUUCACAGUGUCAGGAAUCAUAUUUGUAAGCUCUUUUUUUUUCACCAUGUUGAUUUCUACACAGCACCCACAAUA